CCUACGGGCGGCAGCAGUGAGGAAUAUUGGUCAAUGGGCGGGAGCCUGAACCAGCCAAGUCGCGUGAGGGAAGACGGUCCUAUGGAUUGUAAACCUCUUUAGGCGGGGAGCAAUGCCGGGCACGCGUGCCCGGAGGGAGAGUACCCGCAGAAUAAGCAUCGGCUAACUCCGUGCCAGCAGCCGGGGUAAUACGGAGGAUGCGAGCGUUUUCCGGAUUUAUUGGGUUUAAAGGGUGCGGAGGCGGAUUUUUAAGUCAGCGGUAAAAGGUCCGGGCUCAACCCGGGCCGGCCGUUGAAACUGGGGGUCUUGAGUGGGCGAGAAGUAUGCGGAAUGCGUGGUGUAGCGGUGAAAUGCAUAGAUAUCACGCAGAACUCCGAUUGCGAAGGCAGCAUACCGGCGCCCGACUGACGCUGAGGCACGAAAGCGUGGGGAUCGAACAGGAUUAGAUACCCGUGUAGUC
rnacentral:rRNA from 1 species